UCCCGGCAGCCCUCUGGCUUCUACAUUCCAUGACAGUGAAUUUUCUGGGAGAGAUUGCACAGAUCUCCUCUGCCUUCGAAGGUCUGCUUUACACUACUCCACUUCUAUGAAAGAUCCGCCUUAGUACCCAUUUCCGGGAACCAAAAGAAAUCCGAAGAGGAUCUUUGUUUUUACAGAAAAAGAGGUGAAAAGUGAAAAUGCCAUUCGAUGUGCAUCUUGCAGAGCUGCCAGAGGCGGCACGCCCAGGGCAGUGAGAGCUGCACCCCAGCACCAUCCCCAGAAACCACACUCAGCGUCUCAGCAUCCAGGCCCUCGUCGCUGCCAGAGCUGAGAACCAGGUCUGUCAGCCUCUGUGCUUCGUCCCGAGGUGUUUUGUGCAGGAUGUGUCCUAAGGACCAAACAGCUGGACCAAAGGAAGGAGGCCCAUCAGAGCAUGGCAAGAUGCAACUGCCAUCCGUGAAGACCUGCCUGGCUGGAGCCUCUGUGCCACGCCGUGCUCAAGGCUGCAGGCUCAGACCAUGAUCCCACCUCUAACCAGCUAUGUAGUCUUCACAAGUCACUCAGCCCCUCUGUAAAGGGGAGAGAAUACAGCACAAUAA